UACGUAGGUGGCAAGCGUUGUCCGGAAUUACUGGGCGUAAAGCGCGCGUAGGCGGCUCUUCAAGUCAGGCGUGAAAGCCCCGGGCUUAACCCGGGAAUAGCGCUUGAUACUGUUGGGCUUGAGUCCGGGAGAGGAUAGUGGAAUUCCCAGUGUAGAGGUGAAAUUCGUAGAUAUUGGGAAGAACACCAGUGGCGAAGGCGGCUAUCUGGACCGGAACUGACGCUGAGGCGCGAAAGCGUGGGGAGCAAACAGG
rnacentral:rRNA from 1 species